rnacentral:tRNA from 1 species
UGGUUCAGUGGAAAGAACAUUGGCUUGGGGAGUCAGAAAACCUAUGUUCAAAUCUUAG